AUUGCCACACCUUAACGUCAUGGAUAUUUCUAGGAAACCGAUUUGAUUAAGUCAUUUUUAGGAAAAGUGAUUAAUUUUGGAAAAUACUUUCAUUACGGAAGCUUUGCUUGUUGUCGUGUUAUUUUGAAAUCAACUGUUGUUUUUGAAAAUGCGCCCUAAAGCUAUCCAAUUUCAACAGUUAAAAUAAGUAUUACCUAUCUUAGUAAUACAUAUUAAAAACCAUCAAAAAUAAAUAAGCGGCCUUAUUACAUUUAAAAACCCAAAACCUCAAACGUAAUUAAAAGGAUGUCCAGUUCACUAGAAGAAAAUCAAACUUUCAGAAUGGGUGGCCACUCCGAAUUCCCUCAUAGCUCCAAGCCCACUAUGGUUGGGGAUUUCCUGCGUGGAUGAAAAUAAAAGAGAUGAGUUUGGGGAAACUCAGUGUGUAAAAUAACCCAACCAUAGUCUAAAUCAGCUCAACCCACAGAAACAAAAUAAGUUAGCCUUAGCCCAGAACAGAAUUCAGAAUAAAGCCCAUAGGCCCAUAACAGAACAGAACAGAACAAAUAUUACAUGUUUAUGCAGAAACCCAACCAUAUCCAACCGUAUACACCCCCGUACCAACCUUACACCGUGUGGGGAGACAACUCGACCCACCCAACCGCUACACACCACAAAAUUUGCAGCAUGGCUGCCAAAACAGAUAAUGUGACAGAGUCACCAGAUACUGAUAAUCGUGGCAGAGCCACCAGAACAGAUAUAUGUGGCAGAGCCACCAGAUCAGAUAUUUGUGGCAUAGCCACCAGAACGCUUCCUCCAUAAUAUAACCCAUGUCCCCAUGCAACAAAUAUAUAAUCAUGACAUCCAUCAUACAGAAUCAGAUCGCUAUGCUUUUCAGUCAAAAUUAACCCUACGGGUAUAACGGUAAUUUUACACCUAGGGGUAUAACAGUAAUUUUCCAUACAUAGGGGUAUUAUAGUAAUUUAGCUACUUUCAGGGUUUUCAUGCAUAUCCUAAAUAUUUACGUACCGCGCAUACUUACCGAAUUGGGCCCGUUGGCCCAUGAACCCGAUCUUUGGCCCAUUAAGCCCAAAUUAUCAAAAUGUACGAAAUCGCGCGUACUGCAGUUUAUUACUUUAGUUUACCAAAUAUACAAACCCAACUAUUUUACGAGCAUUCGCACACUCGCAAAUUCUCAAAAUACCGACUUUUCAGCAUUUCGGCUUUUGCCAAUCUAGUCUAUGAGAGGGUGUCAGUUACACACCUGUUUGCGACGAUAUGCUGACGAGAUCCACAUACGAACCGCCUACAAUUGGAUUAAUAACACGUUAAUCUAACUAUUCAAAUACAAACUACGUAUUAACCCCUUACAAUAUUCGGCCAACCACACCUACAGAUCAUAGUAAGCUUAUAAGAAAUCAAUAAGCAACUCAUUAACAAAUUUUUGUCAAUGUUUACCACAUAAUCAUAAUUUCACUGGAAGCUGUCUUCCUGAGCAACAGUCACUAAAUUAUUUAUAACUGGAGCUACGAAACUCCAAAUCAAGUGUCGUUAAUUUUCCCUGAAAAUAGACUCAUAUAUCUUCUAUCCAUAAAAUUUUCAGAAUUUUUGGUUUAGCCAAUCAAUACCAGAUUUGUCUCAAAGUUUUCUCAUGUUUCACUGUUUGACUAAUCUGACCACCCUUCAUUACGAAUCAAAUUUCUCAUUUUACAGAAUUCAAAAUAUGUUCUUGUUUAUUUCAUUAGAAACUAGACUCAAUAAGCUUUAAUUACAUAAUUUAUGCAGCUUCUAACUCAUCUUCCACAAUUUAUGGUGAUUUUCCAAAGUCACAUUACUGCUGCUGUCCCAAGCAGAUUUAUUACCAAAUCACUCUUUCACACCUAACUUGCAUGCUUGUUAUUUAAACAUGUAUAUCACCAAUCAAUCAUCACAUAUCUAUGAUUUUACUUAAGUAUAAUCUCCAUUUCGUCAUUUUAAAGCACAACAUGUUAGCUGAUUUUUCCCUUUAACAUCUAAGGCACAUGCAUGCUUAUUUGUUUGGCUCAACUUCACUUAUCUUCCAUUUUUCAUCAAAAGAACAUGAAACAACAACCAUUUCCUUCAUUUUAAUUCAUGACUAAAUGCUCACAACACAACUAAAAAUCAAAAUAUACUUCAAGAGUUAAGAUAGAAUCAAGAAGAACUCAUGAACCUCAAAAUAGAAGCAAGGUACCAAGAACUUACCUUCAAUUUUCCUCCUCCUAAUGACCAAAUACUCAAGAGCUUUCUCCUCUCCUUUCUCUUCUCUAACUUUCAGCUAUGAUGGACAAAACUUUGUUCUUUUCACCCCUUUUUCUUUUAAUAAAACUUC
rnacentral:lncRNA from 1 species